rnacentral:rRNA from 1 species
CGAAAACGAAUUCUCUCUUGAGUGGAUCCUGAGUACGACGGAGCACGUGAAAUUCCGUCGGAAUCUGGGAGGACCAUCUCCUAAGGCUAAAUACUCUCUAGUGACCGAUAGUGAACCAGUACCGUGAGGGAAAGGUGAAAAGUACCCCGGAAGGGGAGUGAAAGAGAACUUGAAACCGUGUGCUUACAAGUAGUCAGAGCCCGUUAAUGGGUGAUGGCGUGCCUUUUGUAGAAUGAACCGGCGAGUUACGAUCUGAUGCAAGGUUAAGCAGAAAAUGUGGAGCCGUAGCGAAAGCGAGUCUGAAUAGGGCGAAUGAGUAUUUGGUCGUAGACCCGAAACCAGGUGAUCUACCCUUGGUCAGGUUGAAGUUCAGGUAACACUGAAUGGAGGACCGAACCGACUUACGUUGAAAAGUGAGCGGAUGAACUGAGGGUAGCGGAGAAAUUCCAAUCGAACUUGGAGAUAGCUGGUUCUCUCCGAAAUAGCUUUAGGGCUAGCCUCAAGUGAUGAUUAUUGGAGGUAGAGCACUGUUUGGACGAGGGGCCCCUCUCGGGUUACCGAAUUCAGACAAACUCCGAAUGCCAAAUAAUUUAACUUGGGAGUCAGAAUGUGGGUGAUAAGGU